rnacentral:misc_RNA from 1 species
GUUUGUGAUUUUAUUACAUAAAGUCGUCCAUUUUCUCUAUUGUUUUCAUGGUCCCAUCUUUACUAUUAUUUUUCAGCUGUGCAGGUUCAUUGACAUGUACUGAAAUGUGAAUCCUGUCCAAAUGCUCCAAGCAUUCUACAAGCUACUUCCAUCAACUUCCCUCUCCUGGGCUUGGUGACAACCUUGACGGCGGCGGUCGGUUUUUUAACUGUCUCUUUCUCUUCCUCCGGGAACAAAACUCCGUCAAUUCCCUGCACUGAAAUCCUGCCGUCCGUGUAAAUGUCUGGAUCGAACAAAUACGCCGACGUAUCCCCGGAUCCGAAUUUCACCGACCCAUCAGCCUCCUGAGCCACCACCUUGUGAGGCAAACGAAGCGUAUCGUACUUUAUUUUCCCAAAUCUUCUCACUGCAUUGUACAUACUCUCCUCCGUCUGGUACUCGGGGAUGAUAUGGUAGUAUAUGAUCUGCUCCGGUGCACCGGGCUCACUUAGCUGGUCUGUCGUUAGCUUGGCCAUGGCUUCGUCGUU